GAUGAAGAACGUAGCGAAAUGCGAUAAGUAGUGUGAAUUGCAGACUUUAGUGAAUCAUCGAAUCUUUGAACGCACAUUGCGCCCGCCAGUAUUCUGGCGGGCAUGCCUGUUCGAGCGUCAUUUCAACCAUCAAGCCCCCGGCUUGUGUUGGGGACCUGCGGCUGCCGCAGGCCCUGAAAACCAGUGGCGGGCUCGCUAGUCACUCCGAGCGUAGUAAUACAUCUCGCUCAGGGCGUGCUGCGGGUUCCGGCCGUUAAAAGCCUUAUUUACCCAAGGUUGACCUCGGAUCAGGUAGGAAGACCCGCUGAACUUAAGCAUAUCAAUAAGCGGAGGA
rnacentral:misc_RNA from 1 species